rnacentral:pre_miRNA from 1 species
AAUAGGCGACGCCGUUAACUUUUUCUCACAUGUUUGAUCAUUCGUCUUAUUCAAAAAAUUUACGUAAUUAUAAUUUAUUUUGUUUAUGAAUUCUUUUAUCACUCAUAGUAUUUUAAGUGUGAUUUAUAUCAUAUACAUUUGCAUAAAAUUUUUAAAUAAGACGAAUGGUCAAACAUAUAAGAAAAAGUCAACAGCGUCAUCUAUG